rnacentral:lncRNA from 1 species
CAUGCAGAGAAAAUGAUAAUGAAUUGUUUGAAGCCUAGCUUUCUUUGGCAUAGCUGGACGAAGAAUUGUUUUCGCUCUAUUUUCCCGUAAUAGUUGCUUAAGAAAUCAACUUUCUUCCUCUUGGCUUGAGACUAACAAAGAGUUGGAAGUAUGAUGGUAGGUUUCGUAAUAGCUUGGUCAUGCUGUAAUACUGAGCAGCAAAGGUAAUUGGGAUACAAAGUGGAAAUAGAAGACUCUCAAAAUCAGUGGAAGAUUCAGCAGCAUCCUUCUUAAAGCUCAUUUUUAUUUUGUGCAGGAGAUGGAAACUACCCCUACCCCUGCCCUUCAAGCUGCCUGAGGGAAGUGGCAGUUGCUUUCCCCACUUUUAUGGUUACUUAGUUUUGUGUGUGUGUGUAUGUGUACAGAAUCAUAGAAUCAUAGAACAGUUUGUGUUGGAAGGGACCUUCAAAGCUCAUCUAGUCCAACCCCCUGCAAUGAGCAGGGACAUCUUCAACUACACCAGGUUUCCCAGAACCACAUCCAGCCUGGGCUGGAAUGUCUCCAGGGAUGGGGCAUCCACCACCUCUCUGGGCAGCCUGUGCCAGUGUUUCACCACCCUCAUUGUAAAGAAUUUCUUCCUCACAUCCAGCCUGAAUCUCCCUCUUUUAGUUUAAACCCAUCACCCCUCGUCCUGUCACAACAGGCCCUGCUGAAAAGUCUCUCCCCACCUUUCUUAUAGGCCCCUUUUAAGUACUGAAAGGCCGCAAUAAGGUCUCCAAGCUGAUCAACCCCAACUCUCUCAGCAGUUCCUCGUGGCAGAGGUGCUCCAGCCCUCUGAUCAUUUUUGUGUCCCUCCUCUGGACCCUCUCCAACAGGUCCAUACAGGUGUGUAUGCACACUUGCAUACAUGUACCUAAAGCUACAUAUAGUUACGUGCUCCAGAAAGAGAUGAUUCCUCUGGUGUUGUGCAUGCUGUCUGUCACAUUGAAGAUCUGAACUAUUUGUGAUGGGUUGGGUUCUUUCAUUAAAGUCAUAGAUCGGUGUCUUAACCACAAAACCCUCCUUAAUAAGAAAAAGAAAA